GGGGGCAUAGCUCAGUUGGGAGAGCAGCAGACUGAAGUGAUUUCUGAAGGUCCCGCGUUCAAUCCGCGGUGCCCCCA